rnacentral:lncRNA from 1 species
AAAAAUAAAUAAACUAGGCAGACAGGUGGUUUACGUCUUUAAUCCUAGCACAGGCAGAAGCUCAGGCCUUCUGCAGUCUAGCCUGCCUGAUGUACACAGUGAGUUCCAGGCCAGGCAGGGCUGCAUAGUGAACUGCUAUCUAUGAAAAGAUGUGUAUGGGGAAGGGGGUGUGCCUUGGCAUCUCUGUGGAGCAAAGGCCUACACACACUUGGUUUCCCCUUCUCCUUUAUGUGGGGUCUGGAGGUGUUGUAAGCCCUUUAUACAGUGAGCUGUCUCUUGGACCUCUUUUGUUAGUUUUUUGAGACAAAGUCUCACUUUGCAGUCCAUGCUGCAAUUUGUGUGAUCCUUCAGCAGCAGUCUCCCUGUGCUGGGAUCCCAUGUGUGCCACCAUACACAUGAGCCAGUGGAAUGGCUUCCUUUGGUCUAGAAUAUGGUUUUCCUUUGAGGGCAGAGGACCUUUGGAGUGGGCAGCAGGUUGCUGUUGCCACCAUGGAUCUCACUCUGGAGUCUGCUCCACUUCCCUCUGGGUGCACCUCCCCAUUCCUCCUGGGCCAAAUGCCAAGUGGAAUCCCUCAUGGCUCUAGUUUGUUUCCAGGUCACUCUGUCACUCACACACAUGCUGGCUGCAUAUGCUGCUUCCCACUGGGUGUCUGCCCAUCAUUGCUCAUGCUCCCAGGUCAGGUGACCCCCCCAAUUGCCCCUCCACCUUGCUUCCUGUCAGCUAUUCUGGAGAGAUGAUUCUGCCUGCCCAUGAUGAAUAUAUGUGCAUGCAUGCAAGCAUUUGUUGUGUCCUGGGGCUGUUGCCAAGACUACUUCCACAUAGAUUUCUACCUCCCUAAGACAAAGCCCAGAGAAACUGAGUAUCUUAUUGAGGACACAGCUUAGAAAUGACUGGCCUGUGUUGAACUAGAGUAUUCUAAACUCAGCUGCAUUCAAGAGCCCUUGUGUCAUUUCUACUUGGCAGGAUUAAGUUUAACAGGGCCCAUUUAUUGUGUGUUCCUUGGAUCUCCUGCUUAAAGAUGCACUUCUCUGAUGGACAAAGGCAGCGUUUAUCCCAGGAACAUCUGGGCAGGAUCUUCUUGGUUGGUGCAUUGAAUUUCUAGCCCUGUACUUGGCCACUGGGUACCCAGGUGAGGUGCUGCCUCAUCAGAGCUGGUUGAAACCUGUCCUAAUCCUGGUGGGCUCUGCCUCCCCUACAGAUGUCCUCAUAGCACUUAGUGGUGUCCAGUGUGAAGCACAGCUGCCCUAGCCCUAGGGUCUGCACAGCCAACCCACACCUCUGGGAAACAGCAUGUAAUGGCUCUGCUUGGUCGUCCCGGUUAACUCUGUUUUGUUUUGUUUUGUUUUGUUUUUUUGUUUUUCCAGACAGGGUUUCUCUGUGUAGCCCUGGCUGUCCUGGAACUCACUUUGUAGACCAGGCUGGCCUCGAACUCAAAAAUCCGCCUGCCUCUGCCUCCCGAGUGCUGGGAUUAAAGGCCUGCGCCACCACGCCCAACCCGGUUAACUCUUAAAGUAGGAAAGGAGAACACAUGGGCUUGUGUGGAGAUCUCAGGGCUUUACUUAUUUAAAACUACUCUGAUCAAGGCCAGGCUUGCCUUAGACUCUAGCUGAGGACAACCUUGAGCUCCUAAUCUUGCUGUCUCAGCUCCUAACUAAGUACUGGAUGAAGGGUGUCCAGUCUCUCUGGUUUGUGUGGUGCUUGAUGCGCACUCUACCCACAAAGCUGCAGUUUCAGUCUCCCAACACUUUAUAGCAGUUUUAAUUUUACAGCAACAUAGAGUAUACUGUUAGGGACUUUGUACUUUGUCACCUGCAUAGCACCCGUAACCGGCAAAGCACCUGCCAUCUUGACUCUCUUUUGAAGGAACACUAGCAAGCAUGGUGGGGACCUUUGCAGCAGGUAGCACUGGAACUGGUGGCAGGUCAUGCCGUGGCAGCACACAGGAAGCAAAGAGCCUUUAAGAGAGAAGCAGGGCCGACCUGUACCCCUCAGUGACCCACUUCCUCCACCUGGCUCUACUUCCUAAGUACUCCCAAGAACAAAAACCAAACCAGCACCCCUGGCUUGAGGAAGAGUGUGCUUACAUGGGAGCCUGUGGGAACAGUUCACACUCAGACAGUGUGAUCCAGGCUUAGGCUCAUACUUCCAACCCUCACAGUUGCAAUGGUUUCAACAUUGUUUAAAAGUCCAGAGUCUCUGCUGAGUCCCUGUGAAAUCAAAUACCAUUUUCAGGCAUGGGAGCCAUGCUGUUGUUAUGGAGGGUCAAGAGUUCAAGGUCAACCCAGCUAUGUAGUGAGUCUGGCCUACAAAACACUUUGUCUCAAAAAACAAGAACAAAACCAAAAUCCUCAAGUAACAUAUUCCCAGCAUACAGUGGUACAGAACAAAAUUUCUUCCAAAAGGAGGAGCCAGGGGCUGGAGAGAUGGCUCUACUGUUAAGAGCACUGACUGCUCUUCCAGAGGAUUUGUAAUGGGUUCUGAUGCCCUCUUCUGGUGUGUCUGAAGACAGUGACAGUGUACUCACAUAUAUAAAAUAAAUCU